rnacentral:lncRNA from 1 species
UUGAUCCUUGAUCAAUCUUUCUUUCAAGGAGUCCAAUCAAAAGGAUUUCAAAAAUGUUUCAAAGAACAAAAAUCUCAAAUUCUAAUCUAAGCAUGGGUUCAUUGGCAAAACGUUUUCUAAGCCAUUAUAUUGAUGAAUUAAUGUUUGAUUAAUGCUUUUAAGAUGAUUUCAUAUGGAAUUCCUUGUAGAACCCAUGUUUUCCCUAAACUCCUAAACUUGCUUAUGAAGUG